UAUUACAUGCAGACAAAACCCUCAACUAUCUUUCAUGAAAUUCACUAUUCGGACAUACGCAUGUCCCAUGUCGCAUAUACAGAAACAUUUUACACUAUGUGAUGUGAAAAGUCCAGUCCUAAUGUAUGUACUUAUAAAAUCAUUUCAUAAUUACUUGAGGCCAGAGCAUCGCUGAGUUUAUCCAGUUUUUGGUUGCAAGAAUUCACAAAAAUGAAUUAUUUCCAAUUUUGAUUUAUUAUUUUUUAUAUUUAAUUUAUCAUGAAUAUUUCGUUCACGUCAAAAAUUGAUGCCAAUUUCGAAAUUUUAUGAAAAUGUUGAAUUUAUUUUCUCACCUUACUUAUUUCAACAAUUUUUUAACGUUCUUAUGAGAGUCUCCUUUGAUUUUGACUCUAAAGCCAUCAGAUUCAUGUAAAACUUAAGCUAUUUGUUCAUUUCCCUUUAUAUAUCUAAACAACAUAUUUUUCUGCAUAUUGCCAAACGUAGAUAAGUGCUCGAUUUCUAAUGAAUUCCUCAUAUUGGCUUCGUACUGAGAAGCCCUGAUUUAUGAUAGCUUACCACAAAAAUUGCUAUGACGCGUAAUAAAUACUCCAUUUCCGAAAAACACGUUCGGAGCAGGCUUUAUUUCCAAUCAGCCAACGUGCUGCAAUGAAUAUGUAGUUGAAAAAAUGCGCGAUGAAUAUAUACUACGUAAAUGUACAGUACUCGCGAUUCACGAAAUUAUGGAGAAAAAUAUAGUAAAACGAAUAAAUGACAGAUAUAAAAAAGGAGUUGGUCUACUAUUUCCGCCAUUUUGCGUUUGAGCUCUUAGCUCUUGGUAUGCUCGGGUUGUAUCGUACAUAACUCGACCUCAAGGUGAGCGGCAAAUUUUGCACCUAGCUGGACAGGACGCUGAUCGAUCGAAAAUCAUUUUCAAUUAAAUAAUUCUGGCCAUGAAAUGCUCUAAGAAUCUAUAAUAUUUAAUAAAAGACAAAAUUUAAAGAAUUACUGAUAGACGCAGGAUUGUUGCACUUUCAGCGUGUGCAGGGCAGAUGUUGUCAAGGAAGUGCUGCUGGCGCUGUUGAAGGACAAUUUAUUAUUAAAAAACUAAAAAAAAAUAGUACCCUUACAAUAUUCGAGGCAUGUAAAAACUGUGCAUGUGUCACAGCAGGCUGUGAAUACUUGUAACAAAAGUCAGAAAAUCUAGUUUAUACCGAUAUUUUGAUGGAGCAAAGAAUAUAUCCACAAUUGAACGUUGAUUUGAUUUGUUCGCUUUUCAAUUUUUUUGCUUGCCUCAAAAACACUGGUUAUAAAAGCUGCGGAAAUUUAUACAGCCAAAACAAUUCAAUGGUUUCAACACAACGUUGAGAAAUUUUCUAAAAUAAUCGGUAAACAAUAAAAAUAAAUGCUUGAUUGAGCAAAACACUUGUGCUCGGGAUUACAAAUUGCAGACGUAUAUAUAUAUCAAUCAAAAUGUGCGAUCUGUAUUGUAUAACAGGUAAAAAAAAGAAUGUUGUUUAUAAAAAGUAGAAAUAUACGCGUGUGCAGUAAAGAAUGAAUGUAUAUUUAAUAAUAAAGAAAAAAUAAAAAGAUCGACCAAAAAUUUUACAUUAGUUAUCAGACACCUUAAGUUGACGGUUUUUUUAUUAUUAUUGAAUUGCAUACACGUUAUACGUUUUUUACAUCUCCAUCGUUACAAGCUUUUCGCUUGUCGCACAUGUUUUUUUAAUUAUUUUUUUUGUUACUCGAGCGAAUUGAAUUCCAUUAAUCUAAUUUUUUUUCCUAAUUUAUGUUUUAUUGUUAAAAGAACUCCUCGUGUUCUUUUGGAAGGGAUACCACCGAACUCUGCAAAAUCCAAGAAAAUAAAAUAACGACGUAAAUUUUGCAUUCAAAACAAAUGAAUAAAGAUAUACACAGCAAUGAUUUAUAUUCCAGAUUAGAUGAAUUAGAAAUUUAAGCUUCCAACAAUUGCAUUUUAAUGAUUUCUACAGUGAAUGCAUUGUAUAGAUUCGAUUUCAGUAAUUCACAAUAUUAAAUCAAGAAUUUAAAACUUGAUACAGCUGCAACUGGUGAAAAAAUGAGAUUGGUAAAAUUAUGAUGUUUCCAAUUGAAUUUAACAAAUGUGAAAAUAAAGAUUGAAAAAAUG